AGAAAGCAGCAGCAUUGUUUGACAGCCAGGCCCCGAUCUGCCCCAUCUGCCAGGUCCUGCUGAGGCCCAGCGAGUUACAAGAACAUAUGGAACAAGAACUGGAGCAGCUGGCCCAGCUGCCCACCAGCAAGAAUUCCCUUCUGAAGGAUGCCAUGGCUCCAGGCACCCCCAAGUCCCUCCUGUUGUCUGCUUCCAUCAAGAGGGAAGGAGAAUCUCCAACAGCAUCACCACAUUCAUCUGCCACUGAUGAUCUGCACCACUCAGACAGA